rnacentral:misc_RNA from 1 species
GAUGAAGAACGCAGCAAAAUGCGAUAAGUAAUGUGAAUUGCAGAAUUCAGUGAAUCAUCGAAUCUUUGAACGCACAUUGCGCCCGCCAGUAUUCUGGCGGGCAUGCCUGUUCGAGCGUCAUUUCAACCCUCAAGCACAGCUUGGUGUUGGGACUCGCGUUAAUUCGCGUUCCCCAAAUUGAUUGGCGGUCACGUCGAGCUUCCAUAGCGUAGUAGUAAAACCCUCGUUACUGGUAAUCGUCGCGGCCACGCCGUUAAACCCCAACUUCUGAAUGUUGACCUCGGAUCAGGUAGGAAUACCCGCUGAACUUAAGCAUAUCAAUAAGCGGAGGA